UACCCCAUUUCUAUGGAAAUUCGGUUUUUUUACCCCUCCGCCAAAGUAAUCGGAAUCGUGCCGAAAAGAGUACUGAAGAAAUUUGGGAGCCGGUUUGAUUGUCCUUGAUCCUACUAGUUGACACGGCGAUUUUGGGGUUUGGUUACAAGGUGUAAUAAACUUCGUGGCAAAUUUUCAGCGAAAAACCUGCUUCUAAUAAAGGCCAUUAUCCACUUUAUUUAUUGCUUAAAACUUUUAUUUCCCUCCUAUAAUCGAAAAACAUCAAAAGUAGAAUUUUGGACAAUGGAUGUAUGUAUGUAUCAGUUGAAAACCGAGCGAAUUCAUCUACUGCAUACCACUCUUUUGUCAAUGCAACUGGAACAAAGGCGGAAAAAUUUACUUACAUAUGUAUGUACAUAUAUAAAUAUGUAUAUAAUAUGUAGGGUCAAGGACAAAAAUCAGAACAGUAAAUAAUUUAUAGUUCAUUUCAAAAAGACAUACCCAAUCUCGAGUAGAUAUAAAAACAAAUAUUUGAUGCAGCACCGUACUCCUUCAUUGUAUAUUUUCGUCCCUCAGUCAAAUAUUUUCAAGACAUUGAAUUUCUUUUCAUAAAUUUAGCGUUUCUUACAAUUUCUGCUGUGAAAAUAAAAACCCCAAAACAAGUUAGGAAAUAAAAAAAAAACUACAACAAAGCC